UUCAAUGCAUUGUGAUGAUCCCUAACCA
rnacentral:piRNA from 1 species